GUGUUCAUGGCAAUACUGGGGAUGUGCAUGCUCAUUGGGGAUGGCAUACUGACUCCUGCUAUUUCAGUAUUAUCAGCCAUCAAUGGACUAACAGCGCCAUUUCCUUCUGUCAGCAAGUCUGUAGUUGAAGCCCUGUCUGCUGCGAUCCUUAUCGGCUUAUUCUUGCUGCAAAAGUACCG